UACGUAGGGGGCUAGCGUUAUCCGGAAUUACUGGGCGUAAAGGGUGCGUAGGUGGUUUCUUAAGUCAGAGGUGAAGGGCUACGGCUCAACCGUAGUAAGCCUUUGAAACUGGGGAACUUGAGUGCAGGAGAGGAGAGUGGAAUUCCUAGUGUAGCGGUGAAAUGCGUAGAUAUUAGGAGGAACACCAGUUGCGAAGGCGGCUCUCUGGACUGUAACUAACACUGAGGCACGAAAGCGUGGGGAGCAAACAGG
rnacentral:rRNA from 1 species